rnacentral:rRNA from 1 species
CACGUAGUUAGCCGGUGCUUCUUUACCCAUUACCGUCACUCACGCUUCGUCACAGGCGAAAGCGGUUUACAACCCGAAGGCCGCCAUCCCGCACGCGGCGUUGCUGCAUCAGGCUUCCGCCCAUUGUGCAAUAUUCCCCACUGCUGCCUCCCGUAGGAGUCUGGGCCGUAUCUCAGUCCCAAUGUGGCCGGUCACCCUCUCAGGCCGGCUACCCGUCAAAGCCUUGGUAAGCCACUACCCCACCAACAAGCUGAUAAGCCGCGAGUCCAUCCCCAACCGCCGAAACUUUCCAACCCCCACCAUGCAGCAGGAGCUCCUAUCCGGUAUUAGCCCCAGUUUCCUGAAGUUAUCCCAAAGUCAAGGGCAGGUUACUCACGUGUUACUCACCCGUUCGCCACUCGAGCACCCCACAAAAGCAGGGCCUUUCCGUUCGACUUGCAUGUGUUAAGCACGCCGCCAGCGUUCGUCCUGAGCCAGGAUCAAACUCU